rnacentral:tRNA from 1 species
ACCGUAGUCUAAUGGAUAGAACAUCGGACUCCGACUCCGACAAUGCGGGUUCGAUUCCCGCCGGGUGC